rnacentral:tRNA from 1 species
CGGGGUGUAGCGCAGCUUGGUAGCGCGGAUGCUUUGGGAGCAUUAGGUCGCAGGUUCGAAUCCUGUCACCCCGA